rnacentral:rRNA from 1 species
CGGGAUGAGCUCAAAUUUGUAAUCUGGUGGACUCAGUUCAUCCGAGUUGUAAUCUAUAGAAAAGUUUUCCGCGUCGGACCGUGUCUAAGUCCCUUGGAACAGGGUGUCAGAGAGGGUGAGAAUCCCGUGCUUGAUACGACCACCGAUGCUAUGUGAUACUUUUUCAACGAGUCGAGUUGUUUGGGAAUGCAGCUCAAAAUGGGUGGUAAAUUCCAUCUAAAGCUAAAUAUUGGCGAGAGACCGAUAGCGAACAAGUACCGUGAGGGAAAGAUGAAAAGCACUUUGGAAAGAGAGUUAAACAGUACGUGAAAUUGUUAAAAGGGAAACGAUUGAAGUCAGUCGUGCUCUCUGAGAUUCAGCCAGUUAUUCUGGUGUAUUUCUCAGUGAGCGGGUCAACAUCAGUUUAGAUCGCUGGAUAAGGUCAUUAGGAAUGUGGCUCCCUCGGGAGUGUUAUAGCCUAGUGUCGCAUACAGUGGUUUAGACUGAGGAACGCAGCUCGCCUUUAUGGCCGGGGUU